rfam:Stegodyphus mimosarum contig123553, whole genome shotgun sequence.
GCCUUCGUGAUGUAGUGGUCAGCACGCUCGACGUGUAACCGAGAGGUCCGUGGUUCGAUUCCCGGAGAAGGCA